CCUUCUAACCCACAUUCAAGCCCCCCGCGUACGAAUGAGGCAAUCAUGUUUUCCAAACUUUUUCUUUUAAGAAAAGGAGAAAAUGAUGUCGUUUUUCUCUCUUGGUUCUUAAAACCAUAGUCAUGUUGCUAAACUUACCGUUUUAACAAAGGUUUUAUUUUCCUUUCACCCAAACUCCAGUUUCCCGAGUCUCACAUCUCCCUCUUUGUAAUUAUCGUUGCCCUCAAGCGGUUCGUCCUCUCCAUGUUGCGCCUUCACGCCGGUCUAGCCUACUGGUUUUCUGUUUGCACCUCGCCACGCCAUGCCACGCCGAUAGGCUCCCUUUCCACCCAUAUCUCCAUCUUUCUCUCUUCGUCUACGUCGCACCCCACCUUGGUAAGUCCUCUCCAUCUCUCUUGAUUUUGUGUCUCGCUCUGUAAGACCCAAGCCCGCUGCACAAGCCCAGGCCCAGCCCAGUUCCAUGCUAAACCCAUCACACGGUGUCGUUUGUUGAAGACUUUCCCUCUCAUCUACUCUCUCGCUUCACUUCUCGCACUCUUUGAUUUUUUCUGGUGGAAUUAGUGCUGAAAUUUCUGGUGAUUUUCUUGCAUGGGUUGCUGAACUGAUCAAGCUUCCCCGACGUGCGAAAGCUAUACACGCUCGCUCACAUGAAUCCCCUGCACCAAUGUCUACCGAAGGAGCAUGGGACUAUGAAUGGUAAACCAGACAAAGGCUUGCAGGAUCAUUUCCAGGAUCAGCCAAACAGCAGUCUAUCACUAGUAUUUCAGAAGAUAUUUUUAUACAAAAUAUGUUGGGUAAUGCCUAGAUAUAAGCAUAGUAUAUACGCUUGCGUGG